GCGUUCGUGGUGUAACUGGAAGUACGCUCGAUGAGUACUCGGGAGGUCCGAAGUUCGAAUCUCGGCGAGAGCA
rnacentral:tRNA from 1 species